rnacentral:rRNA from 16 species
GCCUUGGCAGUAAGAGGCGAUGAAAGACGUGAUACUCUGCGAUAAGCCAUGGGGAGCUGAGAAUAAGCUUUGAUCCAUGGAUUUCUGAAUGGGGCAACCCACCUGACAGUUUCAUAUUGUUGCGCAAGCACUCAAUAUGUCGCUGAAACAGGUACUUUUAACCUGAAUACAUAGGGUUUUAAGAGCAAACCCGGGGAACUGAAACAUCUAAGUACCCGGAGGAAGAGAAAACAAUAGUGAUUCCGCAAGUAGUGGCGAGCGAACGCGGAACAGCCCAAACCUUGAUCGUUACGGCGGUUGGGGGGUUGUAGGACUACAAUGUGGACUUUAUAAUGAACGAGAAUGACUUGGGAAAGUCAGCCGUAGAAGGUGAAAGCCCUGUAUUGGUAAAAUUAUAAUACCUAGUAGUAUCCUGAGUAGGACGGGACCGGAGAAAUCCCGUUUGAAUCCACCGGCACCAUCCGGUAAGGCUAAAUACUCCUGAGAGACCGAUAGUGAAC